AUAAAUACUAGGUAACCCGUCACCGUCAAACAAUUUCUAUAAAAAUGUCUUGAACACAAAAAUGUUGGGAGCACAAUAAUGUUGCCACAUAAAUAAUAUGUACAAAUAUAUCUUAAUUUUGUUCAACUUUUCUUUACAUUUAAAUUUUAUUUAGUGUAAUUUAUUUGUCAUUUUCACUGGUAUAAUACGGUAAAAAAUUAUACAUGGUGUUGAAAUUAUAGGUCUCUACGAUUAAUUUCAACUGAAUUAAAACAAAAAAAAAAGACGGACAUACUUCGCACGUGGUAGUAGGCACUAUUGUAGGUGGAAAAUUGGGAAGGUAGAAUACAGAAAGGAAUUCAAUGUAUAUCUGUA